ACCCGCUUGAACUUAAGCAUAUCAAUAAGCGGAGGAAAAGAAACUAACGAGGAUUCCCCUAGUAACUGCGAGUGAAGCGGGAAAAGCUCAAAUUUGAAAUCUGGCGGUUCUUUGACUGUCCGAGUUGUAAUCUAGAGAAGUGUUACCAGUGCUGGACCGUGUACAAGUCUUCUGGAAUGGAGCAUCACAGAGGGUGAGAAUCCCGUCUUUGACAUGGACUGCCAGUGCCACUUGAUGGUGCGCUCUCAAAGAGUCGAGUUGUUUGGGAAUGCAGCUCAAAAUGGGUGGUAAAUGCCAUCUAAAGCUAAAUAUUGGCGAGAGACCGAUAGCGAACAAGUACCGUGAGGGAAAGAUGAAAAGAACUUUGGAAAGAGAGUUAAACAGUACGUGAAAUUGCUGAAAGGGAAACGCUUGAAGUCAGUCGCGUCUGCUAGAAAUCAGCCAUUUGCUCUUGCUUGGUGUACUUUCUGGUUGGACGGGUCAGCAUCAAUUUUGACCGCUGGAUAAAGUCUUUUUGGGAAUGUGGCAUCCCUUUGGAUGUGUUAUAGCCCAUGGUCGCAUACAGCGGUUGGGAUUGAGGAACUCAGCACGCCGCAAGGCUCGGGUCAUUUUUUUGAC
rnacentral:rRNA from 1 species